rnacentral:misc_RNA from 1 species
GAUGAAGAACGUAGUGAAAUGCGAUAAGUAGUGUGAAUUGCAGAAUUCAGUGAAUCAUCGAAUCUUUGAACGCACAUUGCGCCCUUUGGUAUUCCAAAGGGCAUGCCUGUUCGAGCGUCAUUUGUACCCUCUAGCUUUGCUUGGUGUUGGGCGUCUUGUCUCUAGCUUUGCUGGAGACUCGCCUUAAAGUAAUUGGCAGCCGGCCUACUGGUUUCGGAGCGCAGCACAAGUCGCACUCUCUAUCAGCAAAGGUCUAGCAUCCAUUAAGCCUUUUUUUCAACUUUUGACCUCGGAUCAGGUAGGGAUACCCGCUGAACUUAAGCAUAUCAAUAAGCGGAGGA